GAAACCCAAAAGAUCGAAUGGGGAGAUUCAUCGUCAGCUCAUUUUGUAUAUGUACAAGUUACGAUGCGGGUUACUACUUGUAGUAUUGCCUGCACGUUCUUUUAUAUUUUGUUGCAAGAUGUUGUCGGCGUGCACUUCUCCCCUAGUAGGACGUCGCGACCCGUUGGGUGUCGGUCUACGGCCCAAGUGAUAGCCUUUAAUGUAAUUUAAAAAUCAUUGAAGAUCCUUGGUGUUUUCUGACCGGCUACUUGGCGGUAUUCGUACGGUAUUUAGCCGCUAAUUUAUUAGCGUCCAUGUCCGUCACAAGCGAGGCUAAUUUACUGAUAGUGCGGACCUAGUGCCGUCGUUGGUAUUAGCCAGCUGUUGGUUGUACGUGAUUCUGGGACUGGCUAAAAUUAAUUACCGGUCGGCGACGCUACUGCUUUGGGUACUUUCAGGACCCGUCUUGAAACACGGACCAAA
rnacentral:rRNA from 1 species